rnacentral:lncRNA from 1 species
GACAUAGUAGGUUUCCUUCAGAGGCUUAUGGCAUGAGACCCCCAUGGGCGACACUAAAUUCGAAUGAAUGGAAACAGUGGUUGGCUACAGCUGUGGCAUUAUGACCAGAGCCUGGAUGAUUUCUAUGAUGAUGAUGAAGAAGAGGGGGAUGGGGAAGGGGGGAAAGGAGCCAGGGGUAGGAGUAAGAGUAAGAGCCAGAAUAACCUCUGUGGUCUCUGGAAAUCCCUUCUGUCAGUCCUCUAGAACUCGGUCUAGCCCUAGUCCUAGCCCCCCACCCAGACUUUGGUCCAGCCCCAGCCCCCCCCCCUCAUCAGCUGUCCUCCCAGCCCUCUUGGCCCAUCCCUACUCCAACUGGAGAUGCCCCAGAAGCUGCUGCUCACUGAGGAGGAAGCUGACCCGAUUGGCAGAAGAGCUUGUGGCUGAGGAGGAACGAGCAAAUCGAGGAGCAGAAAAGAAACGGCUAAAGAAGAAGAUUGAGAGGUUGAGAACCGCUGUUCUAUUGGAUGUUUCUAACCAGGUGAUAGAAGAGGCUGCAGUCGCAGCAGGCCCAGCAGCAGAGGAAGAAUUGGAUUUGUCAAGCACCUUCGUGUCUCAAGCCCCUCACAAGGUUGGUGACUGGCCUCCCAAUACCCAGAAAGAGAAAGUGUUGAUCCCUGAGCCUCCAGCCUUGAACUCGCAGAGCCAGAGCCCACAGGAAGGGAGCAGGAGCCAGAGUCCUCAGCUAGAGAUUUGGCCCCCGACCAUUUAUCCUUCCGGUCCCAGUUCCUGUUCGAUUACCUUCAGUUCAGCACCUUCAAUUGCCAAAAACCUGGAGCCUCUAGGCAAAACUUAA